rnacentral:tmRNA from 1 species
GGGGAUGCUGGGCUUUGACAGUUAAUCCUUUCAUUGUGUGCAGAAUGAGGUGACGUUACUCAUUAAAUAUGUCAAAACUACAAGUGCAAAUAAACUUGUUAGCAAGGCAACAUCAUUGUUUACAAUGCCAAGCCUUGUGCCAGCUGCUGUUUAAUUUUUUAAACGGUCGCCAUCGGUCUGCUGAUGCUUGCUAAGCAAUCACCGGUGUCAUUUUGCAAGCUAGGUUAUAAAAACGCCUUAGAUUAUAACUGAAACUAUUAUAAGGCUAGAGAUUCAAUCCUUUUGUUAACCUUUGAGGUUGAAUUCUUGAUCAAAAUAAGGUAAACUAUUUCUGUAGACUCACUCUGAUUAAUUGACUGGACGCGGGUUCAACUCCCGCCAUCUCCACCA